GAGAGUGGUGAGUACCACAUGUUUUGGUUGUUGGGUCGCUCCCUCAAUUGCAGGAAGCUUUUUGUUUGAAAGAAUCUCCGAGGCGAUGUGGUUCAGCUGAAUUAGCUGCAAUAUUUCACUGACCACUGUAACAAUGCGGCAUUGACUUGGAAAGGAUCGCAGUUUGGGACGAUUCCAGUACACUGUGUGGCCGGCUAUGCUGUCUAUGACCGUUCAGUUCUGACCUCCACACUCGGCGAGACUUCGGCCUCUGUUGAAGACUUCAAGCGGGCCUGGGAGAAGCCCAGCACCAGCGGAUUGAUGAGCCAACGUGCGUGAGCCCCGGAGGUUUGCCGCGAUAUUUUUUGUGAAAAGAAAGAUCGUCCUUCCUUUCCUUCCUGCCGUGGAAAGACCGAAGCUUGCGAAAGCCAUGCGAUUUGCAGGCGAUGAAAUUGCCCCAGCCUGAGUUUCAAUCCAUCGACUGACAAGCCAACUGACUGACAAGCUAAUGUUUUUAAACACCCUGGGCACCCUCGCGUGAUUGACACACAGUCACUGCGAUCGAAUUUCAGCAAUGGCUUCUAACUCACCAGCAAGUAAUAAAGAAACUAAAGGCAGAUGAAACGUGACCCUGGGUUUCAGAUUCAACUCCAACAGUAACGUACAGCCCGGCACAAGGCAGUAUGUGUAUCAGCGCUGUACAGCUAAUUGCUUAUUCUGUAUUGCGUUCACUGCUUUGGAUCUCUCUCUCUCUCCCCCUCUCUCUUUUUUUCCUCCGCAUUUCCGUUCACUUCAUCCGAGACGGCCUAAUU